AUGGGGAAGAAGGUGAGGUGGUUUGACGCCGUGCAGAGGAUCCUGAGCCCGUCGGAACCUGAUCGCGACGAGAAGGAAGACAAGCAGAAGCCGGCCGAGAGACCGACGAGUAAAUCGAGCUUCAAGAAGCUAUGGCAGUUCGGCAAGUCCAGCACGUCCACUUCUUCUUCCUCCGCGGCGCCGGAGGCUGCUCCCGCGGCCCAUCAGCAGCCUCCUCCGCAGCCCGAUCAGCAGGAUGCUGUGGAGGUCAAAUCCGCCGGAACGACGAGCGAGCAAAACGAUGGUGGACUCCAAGUCGCAGCGCUCGCCGCACCGGUGGCGCAGCAGCAGCCGGCAGCGGCCACGGCCGUCGUCACGCCGAGACCGCCCGCGCGGUCGAAGGAGGAGCUUGCCGCCAUCAGGAUUCAGACGGCUUGCAGGGGCUACCUGGUAAGGAAGGGGUACAAGGCGAGAGCACAGGCUCGGCUGAUGUCGCUGCUGGAGGGGGUCGCCGUGAAGCGCCAGACAGAGGACGCGCUGUACAGCAUGCAGGCGAUGACGAGGGUUCAGACCCAGAUAUACGCCAGGAGGGUCAACAAGGACAAGGCUCUCAAGAGUCAGGCCCAGCCUAAGCAAGGGCCUGACAAAACCAAGAUUGGUGAAGUCUGGGAUCACACUCACCAGUCCAAGGAGCAGAUCGAGGCCACGCUCGCGACGAAGCAGGAGGCCGCGUCGAGGCGGCAGAGGGCCCUGUCGUACGCGCUCUCUCACCAGUGGAGGAACAGGAGCCCCUCUUCUUCAUCUUCCUCGGGGAGAGGGAGAGCGACACCCACGCUGUCGCACCCUCCGACGUUCAUGGACCCCGGCUGCCCCAACUGGGGCUGGAGCUGGGCGGAGCGCUGUAUGGCGGCGUCCAGGCCGUGGGAGAGCCAGACCGCGCCGCCGGACGUCAAGGACCGCGCUGCUCCCGGGAAGAGCGCCGGCCGGGCCGCCAGCCCGAGGGUGUCCAUCUCGGUCCAGAUUCCCACCACGCUGACGGGCAGGUCCGCUCGGCCGGCCGGCCGGUCGUCGCCGUCGACCCCGACGCAGUCGCGGUCCCCCUCGGCGCUGGGGAAGACGGUCGCGUCGCCCCGGCGGGCUCCGAGCCCGAGGGGUAGCCCGUUCAACAAGUCGGGAAGCAUGCUGUCGGAGCGCCCGAGGAGCAGCCAGGAGCACCUGGCGGCAAGCAGUGGCGGCGGUGGCGACGAGAAGGAGGCCUCGCUGCGGCGGACGACGAGCUUGCGGUCGGGGGAGCAGCCGAGGAAGCUGAGCCUGGGAACGAGAGAGGCGGACGCAGGCGAGACGGGUGACGCGCCGGUGACGCCCAGCUACAUGCAGGCGACCAAGUCCGUGAAGGCCAAGGCCCGGUGCGCGAGCCCCGCGGCGGCCGACAAGGCCGAGCUCCCCGAAAGGGCGCCUCUGGUGUCCUCGCCGUCGAUGAAGAGGCGCCCGUCGCCGGAGUUCGCGGAGAAACAAGGGGUGUCGUCGCCGAGGACGCCAAGGACGCCGAGCACGCCGAGCAAGGCGAAGCCGGAGAUCAGGACGAAGCGGCCUCCCAGCCCGAGGCUCUAG
rnacentral:rRNA from 1 species